CUAUGAUAGUCAAAAUGUUUAUUCACGAGAGCGCUAGUCCGUUGCACAAAACCAUUCAUAUUAUACUGGCUCCUUACGCACUUACAUUCAAACACAAACAGUAGGUAUAAUACGCACAUACUGUAUCACCACCCAGCCGACAAAGAUUAGGGAGACCUUGGGAAGCACUCCCUGUCCUCCCUCAAGAUUAGGGAGACCGUAGGAAGCACUCCCUGUCCUCCCUCAAGAUUAGGGAGACCGUGGGAAGCACCCCGUGUCCUCCCUCAAGAUUAGGGAGACCGUGGGAAGCACUCCUUGUCUUCCCUCAAGAUUAGGGAGACCGUGGGAAGCACUCCUUGUCCUCCCUCAAGAUUAAGGAGACCGUGGGAAGCACUCCUUGUCCUCCCUCAAGAUUAGGAGGGACUUGAAGUACUCCCCGCCCUCUCCCAAAUCUCUCAUAGGCCCCUAGCAAGGUUAAUAAUGGUGAGAUGGAUGGUGGACAGGGUUAAUAAUGGUGAGUUGGAGGGUAGACAGGGUUAAUAAUGGUGAGUUGGAGGGUAGACAGGGUUAAUAAUGGUGAGUUGGAGGGUAGACAGGGUUAAUAAUGGUGAGUUGGAGGGUAGACAGUGUUAAUAAUGGUGAGUUGGAGGGUAGACAGGGUUAAUAAUGGUGAGUUGGAGGGUAGACAGGGUUAAUAAUGGUGAGUUGGAGGGUAGACAGGGUUAAUAAUGGUGAGUUGGAGGGUGGACAGGGUUAAUAAUGGUGAGUUGGAGGGUGGACAGGGUUAAUAAUGGUGAGUUGGAGGGUAGACAGGGUUAAUAAUGGUGAGUUGGAGGGUAGACAGGGUUAAUAAUGGUGAGUUGGAGGGUAGACAGGGUUAAUAAUGGUGAGUUGGAUGGUGGACAGGGUUAAUAAUGGUGAGUUGGAUGGUGGACAGGGUUAAUAAUGGUGAGUUGGAUGGUGGACAGGGUUAAUAAUGGUGAGUUGGAUGGUGGACAGGGUUAAUGGUGAGAUGGAUGGUGGACAGGGUUAAUAAUGGUGAGAUGGAGGGUGGACAGCGUUAAUAAUGGUGAGAUGGAUGGUGGACAGGGUUAAUAAUGGUGAGAUGGAUGGGUGGACAGGGUUAAUAAUGGUGAGUUGGAUGGUGGACAGGGUUAAUAAUGGUGAGUUGGAUGGUGGACAGGGUUAAUAAUGGUGAGUUGGAUGGUGGACAGGGUUAAUAAUGGUGAGUUGGAGGG
ensembl:lncRNA